ensembl:lncRNA
AAACAAAUCUGUUCUCAUGCAAACGCUGCCAGUAACAGAAACUAGUAGAAGAUAAAUCUGAGACAUAUCACAUGUGUCGUACAAUUCCUUCCUAGUCAAAUGGAUUUCUGUUUGCCUGAAGUGUUCACAGCUGUUAACUGCAAUUUUUUUACAGGAGUAGACCAUGAACUUGAUGUAACAAAAGUAAUUUGUAAGACUGAGAAAAGAAGUAAUAAAACUCCUUCAGUGAUUCUGUAGGACCUAUUGCAUGGAGGUAUAAGUUCUGAUUAGCUGAGGAUGAUUUUUGUUUGUUUUCUUGUUGAGGAUUCAAUAAUAUUUCAAGUUGGAUUCAGCUGAAGGACCCUUCAGAUUCUGUCAUGUAACUGACUACUAAGAGACUUUAACUCUUUCUCUCCCACUCUACCCCACAUCAUCUGCAGUUGAGCAUUCUUUAGGUCACCCAACUAAGUGGUUCUGGAAGCUAUAAUGAAGUCAUCCAUUACAUAUUCAAUAAAUUCGUCUGCCAUCAGAAGAAAGAGAUAGCAGGUCUUCCUGAGCUGAUCCUGGGAGCAAAGGCACACCAGAUAAUGCAUAUUUGAGUAUUAGGUAUUUCAAAUUCUCUGGUAUCCAACAUGGUUUUCAUCUUCUGCCUCAGGUGUGUGAGGAUAUUCCGAUCUCAUCAAUUGGACUCUCUGCUUGAAUUUCAGUGGCUGAAGUCCUUAUCUUCCAUAACAGAGAAAAAGCUGUCUGGGAACAGAUUUCAGAGAGAAAAAGAGGCAACACAGAGCUGUAGCCUUCUUCUCCCUGCACUAGCAUUAUGAAUGUGCUGUGUCCAGAUUUAGUGUCAUAGAUGUAUUUGCAUGUUCCAUUUCCAUAUUCAUUUGGCACUUGGAUCCUGUACUGAAGCGUAUUUUAUUCCUGCAGAUUGUGGGUGAAUUUUAUAAAUAAGACUGGAG